GACGAACGCUGGCGGCGUGCCUAAUACAUGCAAGUAGAACGCUGAAGGAGGAGCUUGCUCUUCUGGAUGAGUUGCGAACGGGUGAGUAACGCGUAGGUAACCUGCCUGGUAGCGGGGGAUAACUAUUGGAAACGAUAGCUAAUACCGCAUAACAGUAGAUGUUGCAUGACAUUUACUUAAAAGGUGCAAUUGCAUCACUACCAGAUGGACCUGCGUUGUAUUAGCUAGUUGGUGGGGUAACGGCUCACCAAGGCGACGAUACAUAGCCGACCUGAGAGGGUGAUAGGCCACACUGGGACGGGGACACGGCCCAUGGGACUAAGGGAGGCAGCAGUAGGGAACCUUAGGCAAGGGACGGAAGUCUGACCGAGCAACGCCGAGUGAGUGAAGAAGGCUUUCGGAUCGUAAAGAUCGGUUGUAAGAGAAGAACGAGCGUGAGAGUGGAAAGUUCACACUGUGACGGUAUCUUACCAGAAAGGGACGGCUAACUACGUG
rnacentral:rRNA from 1 species